rnacentral:rRNA from 1 species
CGUAAAGAACCUGCCUCAUAGACGGGGACAACUAUUGGAAACGAUAGCUAAUACCGGAUAACAGCAUAAAUCGCAUGAUAUAUGUUUAAAAGUUGGUUUCGGCUAACACUAUGAGAUGGCUUUGCGGUGCAUUAGCUAGUUGGUGGGGUAAAGGCCUACCAAGGCGACGAUGCAUAGCCGACCUGAGAGGGUGAUCGGCCACACUGGGACUGAGACACGGCCCAG